CUAAUACAUGCAAGUAGAACGCUGAAGAGAGGAGCUUGCUCUUCUUGGAUGAGUUGCGAACGGGUGAGUAACGCGUAGGUAACCUGCCUUGUAGCGGGGGAUAACUAUUGGAAACGAUAGCUAAUACCGCAUAACAAUGGAUGACACAUGUCAUUUAUUUGAAAGGGGCAAUUGCUCCACUACAAGAUGGACCUGCGUUGUAUUAGCUAGUAGGUGAGGUAACGGCUCACCUAGGCGACGAUACAUAGCCGACCUGAGAGGGUGAUCGGCCACACUGGGACUGAGACACGGCCCAGACUCCUACGGGAGGCAGCAGUAGGGAAUCUUCGGCAAUGGGGGCAACCCUGACCGAGCAACGCCGCGUGAGUGAAGAAGGUUUUCGGAUCGUAAAGCUCUGUUGUAAGUCAAGAACGAGUGUGAGAGUGGAAAGUUCACACUGUGACGGUAGCUUACCAGAAAGGGACGGCUAACUACGUGCCAGCAGCCGCGGUAAUACGUAGGUCCCGAGCGUUGUCCGGAUUUAUUGGGCGUAAAGCGAGCGCAGGCGGUUUGAUAAGUCUGAAGUUAAAGGCUGUGGCUCAACCAUAGUUCGCUUUGGAAACUGUCAAACUUGAGUGCAGAAGGGGAGAGUGGAAUUCCAUGUGUAGCGGUGAAAUGCGUAGAUAUAUGGAGGAACACCGGUGGCGAAAGCGGCUCUCUGGUC
rnacentral:rRNA from 1 species